AGUGAACGCUGGCGGUAGGCCUAACACAUGCAAGUCGAACGGCAGCACAGGAGAGCUUGCUCUCUGGGUGGCGAGUGGCGGACGGGUGAGGAAUACAUCGGAAUCUACUUUUUCGUGGGGGAUAACGUAGGGAAACUUACGCUAAUACCGCAUACGACCUACGGGUGAAAGCAGGGGAUCUUCGGACCUUGCGCGAUUGAAUGAGCCGAUGUCGGAUUGGCUAGUUGGCGGGGGAAAGGCCCACCAAGGCGACGAUCCGUAGCUGGUCUGAGAGGAUGAUCAGCCACACUGGAACUGAGACACGGUCCAGACGCCUACGGGAGGCAGCAGUGGGGAAUAUUGGACAAUGGGCGCAAGCCUGAUCCAGCCAUACCGCGUGGGUGAAGAAGGCCUUCGGGUUGUAAAGCCCUUUUGUUGGGAAAGAAAUCCAGCUGGUUAAUACCCGGUUGGGAUGACGGUACCCAAAGAAUAAGCACCGGCUAACUUCGUGCCAGCCGCCGCAGUAA
rnacentral:rRNA from 1 species